UGCGGUAUAGCGCAGCUGGCAGCGCGACGGGCUCAUAACCCGUAGGUCUCUGGUUCGAAUCCAGAUGCCGCAA
rnacentral:tRNA from 1 species